UACGUAGGGGCGAGCGUUAUCCGGAAUUAUUGGGCGUAAAGGGUUCGCAGGCGGCCUUGUAAGUCAGAUGUGAAAGACAGCGGCUUAACCGUUGUAAGCAUUUGAAACUGCAGGGCUUGAGUACAGGAGAGGAAAGCGGAAUUCCUAGUGUAGCGGUGAAAUGCGUAGAUAUUAGGAGGAACACCAGUGGCGAAGGCGGCUUUCUGGACUGAUACUGACGCUGAGGAACGAAAGCGUGGGGAGCAAACAGGAUUAGAUACCCUCGUAGUCCCUGA
rnacentral:rRNA from 1 species